ensembl:snoRNA SNORA72 Small nucleolar RNA SNORA72
CUGCGAAUAUUCUCGCUGUUCUGAUGUUGUAAUAAUCAGGGCAGGCUAAACAUUCGCUAUAUUAAGACCAUGCAUGUGUCCCCGGACCUAGUUCUUUUCCUAGGUCUGGUUUUAUAAAUGCUGGUGAUAAAC